rnacentral:rRNA from 1 species
CAGCAGCCGCCACGGUAAUACGUAGGUGGCAAGCGUUGUCCGGAUUUAUUGGGCGUAAAGCGAGCGCAGGCGGUUUCUUAAGUCUGAUGUGAAAGCCCCCGGCUCAACCGGGGAGGGUCAUUGGAAACUGGGAGACUUGAGUGCAGAAGAGGAGAGUGGAAUUCCAUGUGUAGCGGUGAAAUGCGUAGAUAUAUGGAGGAACACCAGUGGCGAAGGCGGCUCUCUGGUCUGUAACUGACGCUGAGGCUCGAAAGCGUGGGGAGCGAACAGGAUUAGAUACCCGCGUAGUCCCUGUCUCUUAUAC